rnacentral:tRNA from 1 species
GGAGAGGUGCCUGAGUGGUCGAAAGGAGCUCACUGCUAACGAGUCGUACGAGCGAUCGUACCAUGGGUUCGAAUCCCAUCCUCUCCGCCA